CGUGUGCUGUAUGUCUCUUGCAGAGUUGUAUUUGUGAGUAGUGUCUGCGUGUUUAAAUGUAAGUGACACUACUACAAUAUAUAUAAUUGAAAAAGACUCAGGGAGGGCUGAUGUAGAAAUGAUACAAAAACUGGACAGGACUUCACUCGGUGCUCUAGUGCCUGUAUGUCUUCCCCCUGCAACACAUGUCAAUCCAUUAGCCUAGUCUCCUACACAUAUACUUAGUAAUUCAGUAAAUAAG